rnacentral:lncRNA from 1 species
AGGACGUACUAUGUUGGGAGAGAGGCUCUGUACUUGUGUUAACAGGAAAGAAGGCUUUGGGCUCCUUCCAAAGUAAUAAAGGUCAGAUUUGGUAGAUGGAGACACACACACACACACACACACACACACACACACACACUGAAGAUCUCAGCUUCAGAUGGGAGACAUGCUAGGGACCAGAUGCACUGGUAAAGUAUAUUGCUAACCCCGCUUUUAAAACAACUCUGAAACUGACUGGGACAUACCUACAUCUCCAGCCAGAACUUGAGCUUACAUGGCUAAUAAGUCUUGUCGGCUACAGAAUUCUCAUGCCUUAUUAUUACAUACCAUCUUUCAUAUGGUGUGAAUGGAGCCUUAUAUACGAUCAAACUAACUUCCAAAGAAAAGACAGUUUUCACCUGCUCAAACAAAGAGCAGGAAAUUGUCCUUAAUUGGUCUGUGCACCCUGCGCAUCCCACACAGAUGUCUUUAUAGACCUAUGUACUGCUCGUCAGGUUUGUGUAUUGCAGAAUAGAGGACCAGAAGACCAGCCCCGACAGGGAUUCAUCCUCAAAGAUGCUGAGAGACCGAACCUGCUGUUUUGCUCCCUGAUCCAUCCUGCCUCAAACUGAUGCAGUUUCCAGAGACUUGCUGCUAGAACAGCUUCAGGAAGGACUGCUGAUCCCAGAUGGCCUCGAUUCAUCCGGCCCUUCAGACUGAUGCAGUCAAGAGUUCACUUCAUCCACAUAUGUAGACCUGACAACCAAUGACGUCAGCCAGCUCUCUGUUGAUUUAUCCAUUUCCCCAGUUUCCUUCUGGGAUCCCAAACAGGAGUUCUUGGCCCCAAUGCAUCAGGAAGCAAUAAGAAGAAGACUGUCGUCCCAGUGGCGCAAGUUGGGGUGGAUGGUUUUGGUCAUCUAUGAAUUUAUACAUAUGUUAUUUUAAGGGAUGAUUAACAAAUAAUUAUAAUCUUGGAUGGGGAGGAAACUAAAUGGGGAAUUUAGAAUCAGGGAUUUCUAUCUUUUCCUUUUCUCUAUCCUUUCAGACAAAGGGAAGGGGGCAUGUGGUGGCACACGCCUGGCGAGAAGAAAA